AUGUUCCUGGUGUCCAGGUGCGUGGAGACGAUGGGCGACGUCAGCCGCCCAGCCACAUGCUCUUCUGAGGGCUGCAUGGCCGCCAACAGCAGGUCAGGCUCGUGCAGGGCCAGACACGGUACACGUCACUGGGGCACACCUUGGACACCAGAGGCACUGCAGGCAGCAGCACCCAUCAGUGGCGUGACAUCCAGACCUCAUCCCUAUCCCCCAUCCUCACCCCAAUCCUUGUUCCUGCUCACCCCAGCUGGUAAAUUCCCACUUCAUCUCCACGUAGAAGUCAGAGGCCUGAAGGAGACGAAGGGGUCACGAGGGCUAUGGUGCGGAGGUCCCUGCUGGCAGUCGGGGAGGCCUGUGGGGCCCUUUGGGGAGCUUGGGAAGGGGACUGAGGGGAAAAAACAGGGAGUCCUGGGGCAGAUGGGGUACCCAGGGUCUCUCCAGCUGCCUCUGCACCCCCUAAUUCCCAUGGAGGGACUCCAGUUCUGGAUGUGUCCAGCGAUGGGGGUGCUCAUGCUGGGUGCAUGCCUGGUACUAGGGAUACUCUGUGCCACAGGAGCUCGGUGAUGGAGGUGCCUGGUGCCAGGUGUGCCCAUCCUGGGGUAUACAGUGCCACAGGUGCCCGGUGCCAGGGGUGCCCACCCACUGCCUCAACACCCGGCCAUACCCGGCGCAGCUUGCUGAGCAGCUCGGGGAUGCCAGCAAGUCGCCGCGUUGCCCGCUGGUAGUCACGGUAUUGGAGCACCAGCUGCACUAUCUCGGGGUCCCCCGUGCUCACUGCCUCUUGCAGCACUGUGGGGCAGGGAGCUGCCAUCAGCCAGGCGCCGCCACCAUCCCUGCACCCCAAAUCUCCCCACACACCUGUCCAGCCAUUGGCGUUCUCCCGGCCCACAUUGGCGUUGUGCCGCAGCAGCACCCGCACCGACUCCAGGUGGCCCAGGGAUACGGCCAGCUCCAGCGGGGUCCGCCCACGGGGGUCCGUCAACUCCACGUCGUGCUGGGGCACGCACACCGUCACCCCGGCCACCCCCAGUCCGGUGCCAGCCGCGUGCCCAUGCUCUCCUACGCCCUCGCAGACCCCGACUACAGGUCCUCCUGUCCCUCAGCGCCCCUACUUUUUCCCAACCCCUAACCCCCCCGCACCACGUCCCAGUGCCCCCAGUUCCUCCCUCCGGUCUCCACGUCCCCUGUUCUCCCCCUCGCUCUCUCCUUUCCCUGCACCCACUGCGCUGCCGCGCCAGCGCUCCAGAGACCCUAUUUCCCUACCUCCCCAGUAUCACCCGUACUGCCGGCGCCCCCAUUUCCUCCCGGUCCCUGUACCGCUGCUGCCCGCAUCCCCCGCCGUGCCAUGCCCGUACCCCCCCCGCACCCGGCGCGCACCGUGCCGGAGCGCAGCGCACUGUCCAGCGCCUGGUGCCGGUUGUGCCAUACGAGGCGGUGC
rnacentral:lncRNA from 1 species